rnacentral:rRNA from 1 species
AAAGGAAUUGACGGGGACCCGCACAAGCAGCGGAGCAUGUGGUUUAAUUCGACGCAACGCGAAGAACCUUACCAAGGCUUGACAUCCCCUUGACAGGUGCAGAGAUGUACCCUCUCCUUCGGGAGCAAGGGUGACAGGUGGUGCAUGGUUGUCGUCAGCUCGUGUCGUGAGAUGUUGGGUUAAGUCCCGCAACGAGCGCAACCCUUGUCAUUAGUUGCCAGCAUUAAGGUGGGCACUCUAAUGAGACUGCCGGUGAUAAACCGGAGGAAGGUGGGGAUGACGUCAAAUCAUCAUGCCCCUUAUGUCUUGGGCUACACACGUGCUACAAUGGUCGGAACAAAGGGAAGCGAAGGAGCGAUCCGGAGCAAAACCUCAUAAACCGAUCCCAGUUCGGAUUGCAGGCUGCAACUCGCCUGCAUGAAGUCGGAGUUGCUAGUAAUCGCGAAUCAGAACGUCGCGGUGAAUGCGUUCCCGGGUCUUGUACACACCGCCCGU